UGGGGAAUUUUGGACAAUGGGCGAAAGCCUGAUCCAGCAAUGCCGCGUGAGUGAAGAAGGCCUUCGGGUUGUAAAGCUCUUUUGUCAGGGAAGAAACGGUGAAAGCUAAUAUCUUUUGCUAAUGACGGUACCUGAAGAAUAAGCACCGGCUAACUACGUGCCAGCAGCAGCGGUAAUACGGAGGGUGCAAGCGUUAAUCGGAAUUACUGGGCGUAAAGCGCACGCAGGCGGUUUGUUAAGUCAGAUGUGAAAUCCCGCGCUUAACGUGGGAACUGCAUUUGAAACUGGCAAGCUAGAGUCUUGUAGAGGGGGUUAGAAUUCCAGGUGUAGCGGUGAAAUGCGUAGAGAUCUGGAGGAAUACCGGUGGCGAAGGCGGCCCCCUGGACAAAGACUGACGCU
rnacentral:rRNA from 1 species